rnacentral:misc_RNA from 1 species
UUUUUUUUUUUUCACCAGAGAUCUUAACUUUUUCACUUAAAUCAAAAUAAACAAAAAAACACACCAUUCACGUUCUGUCCCAGCAAUUGCAACAUGCAUGCCCAAGUGCAGAAAGAAAAUCUAAUUAUCAAAAGAAAACGCAACGAAACUACAAUCCGAAGAAAAUCAAAAUCAUUACAACUGAAUCUUAUAUUAAACCCAACACUAAUCCUCAAUUAUUUAGCUGGCGAAGAAACUUUCAAAUUUCUCGACAACGACAGCAAAACACAAGACCCCAG